CCCCAGCGCCCCAAAUACCGCUCCAACCCUAGCCUCCCGCCACGCCUUUCGAUCUCGGGCGGCCAUGGGCAACUGCUGCCGCUCGCCGACCACCAUCGCGUGGGAGGACGUCAGCUCCUCGCACUUCCCCGCAUCCAACGCAAAGAAGAAGCCGCACCAAGCGCGGAACGGCGGCGGCGGCGACGGGCAGAAGCGGCUCUCGGUUCUGGCCGGGCGACGAGGGGUGCGAGGUCAUCGGGAUCGAUGACAAGUACGUCCUGGACAGGGAGCUCGACCGCGGGGAGUUCGGGGUGACAUACCUGUGUAUGGAUCGGGACACCAAGGAGCUGCUCGCCUGCAAGUCCAUCUCCAAGCGCAAGCUGCGGACGGCCAUCGACGUGGAGGACGUGCGCCGGGAGGUGGCCAUCAUGCGCCACCUGCCCAAGAGCCCGAGCGUCAUGUCCCUGCGGGAGGCGUGCGGGGACGAGGGCACCGUCCACCUCGUCAUGGAGCUCUGCGAGGGCGGCGAGCUCUUGGACCGCAUCGUCGCGCAGGGGCACUACACCGAGUGCGCCGCCGCCAAUGUCACCCGCACCAUCGUCGUGGUCGUCCAGCUCUGCCAUCGGCAUGACAUCAUCCACCGCGACCUCAAGCCGGAGAACAUCCUCUUCACCAAUAAGAAGGAGAACUCGCCACUCAUGGUCUCUCCAUCUUCUUCAAGCCUAGUGAGUCACACCAACCGAGAUCCUUUCCCAAUUUCGGACGAUUUUCUGCGCACUUCCGUGAUUUCUGGUUUUAGUGGGAGGAAAUUUGACGGUAGAGCUCAGAGUAGCAAAAUGUACUUCUUUUUUCCUGCAAUCCAUAAAACAUGUGGUUAUUACUAGCUCUGCAUCCCGGAAACAACUUGGUGGUUCUUUCAUAGGCAAUUGGCUAUUACUAGCUGCAAGAUAGUAUUUGGUAGUGAUCUGGUAGAUACUGUUAAUCUCCUUUUUUUUCAGGAUAAUAUCUAGUGGUACUGACGAUAAUUUUCAGGACAUCGGUUCAACCGAGCUCUUUCUUCCCUAUUACAGAGCAUUUUGGUUUGAUGAAGAAUGAAAAUAUAUUGUGUUGGGCUUUGCCUGGUUGGUACAUCAAAGUCUUAGGAUGUUUGUGGUGUGGUACACACUUUUGGGAUUAUGAUGAACAAUUAGUGGUGCAUAAGGUGUGAAAUCUGUUUAGUAUCACAUUCAUUGUUAUCGAUACAUUAUUUCUUUGAUGCUGGAAGGUGAAUAUGUGACAAUG